rnacentral:rRNA from 1 species
UUAAUUGAAGAGUUUGAUCAUGGCUCAGAUUGAACGCUGGCGGCAGGCCUAACACAUGCAAGUCGAACGGUAACAGGGAGCAGCUUGCUGCUCUGCUGACGAGUGGUGUACGCGUCAGACGUGGCUGGGUAACUGCCUGAUGGAGGGGGAUAACUACUGGGAACGGUAGCUAAUACCGCAUAACGUCUUCGGACCAAAGUGGGGGACAUUCGGGCCUCACGUCAUCAGAUGUGCCCGGAUGGGGUUAGCUGGUAGGUGGGG